AGAGUUUGAUCCUGGCUCAGGACGAACGCUGGCGGCGCGCUUAACACAUGCAAGUCGAACGCUUCUGUGCCCUUCGGGGUGCAGGGGAGUGGCGAACGGGUGCGUAACACGUGAGCAACCUGCCCUUUUCUGGGGGAUAACCGUGGGAAACCGCGGCUAAUACCGCAUGGGCCGGAGGGCUGAUGGCUCUUUGGUGAAAGGCUUCGGCUGGGAAAGGAGGGGCUCGCGGCGUAUCAGCUAGCUGGUGAGGUAACGGCUCACCAGGGCGACGACGCGUAGCCGGUCUGAGAGGAUGAUCGGCCACAUUGGGACUGAGAUACGGCCCAGACUCCUACGGGAGGCAGCAGUGGGGAAUCUUGCGCAAUGGGCGAAAGCCUGACGCAGCGACGCCGCGUGCGGGAGGACGGCCUUCGGGUUGUAAACCGCUGUCAGGGGGGACGAUAAUGACGGUACCCCCAGAGGAAGCACCGGCUAACUCUGUGCCAGCAGCCGCGGUAAUACAGAGGGUGCAAGCGUUGUUCGGAAUUACUGGGCGUAAAGCGCGCGCAGGCGGUGUGGUAAGUCUACCUGUCCAAUGCCGGGGCUCAACCCCGUGCCUGCAGGAGAUACUGCCAUGCUGGAGACAUGCAGAGGCGAGUGGAAUUCCUGGUGUAGCGGUGGAAUGCGUAGAGAUCCGGGAGAACACCGGUGGCGAAGGCGGCUCGCUGGGCAUGGUCUGACGCUGAGGCGCGAAGGCGUGGGAGAGCAAACAGGAUUAGAUACCCUGGUAGUCCACGCGGUAAACGAUGGGCACUAGACGUGGGGCGGAUCGACCCGUUCCGUGUCGCAGCUAACGCGUGAAGUGCCCCGCCUGGGGAGUACGGCCGCAAGGCUGAAACUCAAAGGAAUUGGCGGGGGCCCGCACAAGCGGUGGAGCAUGUGGUUUAAUUCGAAGCAACGCGAAGAACCUUACCCGGGUUUGACAUGCUGGUGAAAGCCUGGUGAAAGCCGGGCCCCUCUUCGGAGCACCAGCACAGGUGCUGCAUGGCUGUCGUCAGCUCGUGUCGUGAGAUGUUGGGUUAAGUCCCGCAACGAGCGCAACCCUUGCCGGCUGUUGCUAACAGGUAAAGCUGAGGACUCUGCCGGGACUGCCGGUGACAAACCGGAGGAAGGUGGGGACGACGUCAAGUCAUCAUGGUCCUUACGUCCGGGGCUACACACGUGCUACAAUGGCCGGGACAAACCGAAGCGAGGCCGCGAGGCGGAGCGAAUCGGAAAAACCCGGUCCAAGUUCGGAUUGCAGUCUGCAACUCGACUGCAUGAAGCUGGAAUCGCUAGUAAUCGUGGGUCAGCUACACCACGGUGAAUACGUUCCCGGGCCUUGUACACACCGCCCGUCACGCCAUGGAAGUUGGGAGCGCCCGAAGUCCGUGAGCCAACCUGGCAACAGGAGGCAGCGGCCGAAGGCGAGUUCGAUGACUGGGGCGAAGUCGUAACAAGGUAGCCGUAAGGGCGAAUUCCACAGUGGAUAU
rnacentral:rRNA from 1 species